rnacentral:rRNA from 1 species
CCUACGGGUGGCAGCAGUCGGGAAUAUUGCGCAAUGGACGAAACUCUGACGCAGUGACGCCGCGUGCAGGAAGAAGGUCUUCGGAUUGUAAACUGCUUUUGACAGGGAAGAAAAAAGCCAGUACUUGUAGAAUAAGCUCUGGCUAACCACGUGCCAGCAGCCGCGGUAAUAUGUAGGGAGCAAGCGGUAUCCGGAUUUACUGGGUGUAAAGGGUUCGUAGUGGGAGAAGCAAGUUAGUUGUGAAAUCCCUCGGCUUAACUGAGGAACUGCAACUAAAACUACCUCCCUUGAGUACUGGAGAGGAAAGUGGAAUGCCUAGUGUAGCGGUGAAAUGCGUAGAUAUUAGGAGGAACACCAGUGGCGAAGGCGACUUUCUGGACAGUAACUGACGUUGAGGCACGAAAGUGUGGGGAGCAAACAGGAUUAGAUACCCGUGUAGUC